rnacentral:rRNA from 1 species
AGAAACCUACCCCGGACUUGGGAAUAACAGUCGGAAACGACUGCUAAUACCGAAUACCUUCACAACAUCGCAUGAUGACGUGAAGAAAGCUUUUGCGGUCUGGGAGGGUCUCGCGGCCUAUCAGCUUGUUGGUGAGGUAACGGCUCACCAAGGCAUCGACGGGUAGCUGGUCUGAGAGGAUGAUCAGCCACACUGGGACUGAGACACGGCCCAGACUCCUACGGGAGGCAGCAGUGGGGAAUAUUGCACAAUGGGCGCAAGCCUGAUGCAGCAACGCCGCGUGCGGGAAGACGGCCCUAGGGUUGUAAACCGCUUUCAGCAGGGAAGAAAAUGACGGUACCUGCAGAAGAAGGUGCGGCCAACUACGUGCCAGCAGCCGCGGUGACACGUAGGCACCAAGCGUUGUCCGGAUUUAUUGGGCGUAAAGAGCUCGUAGGCGGUUGGCUAAGUCGGGUGCGAAAACUAAGGGCUUAACCCUUAGACGCCACUCGAUACUGGUCUGACUUGAGUUCGGUAGGGGAGCGGGGAAUUCCUGGUGUAGCGGUGAAAUGCGCAGAUAUCAGGAGGAACACCGGUGGCGAAGGCGCCGCUGUGGGCCGAAACUGACGCUGAGGAGCGAAAGCAUGGGUCGCAAAGGGAUUAGAUACCCCUGUAGUC